AUAUUGCAAAAAUCCGGAGGCAUGUCCGCUCGUCAAAAUGCUUACAGGACAAGAUGACUGCAAAGGAGAGUGCUAUUUGGUUGAGUGUCUUGAGUCGAGAAGAAUCCCUCAUUCAACAGCCUAGCAGUGAUAAUGGCACUUCUGGCAUAACUGAAAUGCCUCAAGGCGGGUGUCGUGGAAGGAAGCGACAUGACAUUAGUAGUGACAGUGAUUAUGAUGUUGAUGCUGCUGCUGAUGUUGCUGGUUGUGUUUCAUCAAAAGAUAACAGGAGCACUACAGCAAUGGUAGCGGAGCCAUUAAGCAUUGUUCGAAAUGACAAUCCCCAUGCUAUCCAAGAUAAAGAGCAAGGGGAAAGGCAACUGUCUAAAAAGCCUCGUGGAGAAUCUAGCAAUGCUGAUCAACAAUCUGGACCACUUCUUAAUAAGCAUUCAUUUGCUGAGGAGUGUGUGCCUGAUAUGAAUACUGCUGAUUUAUCAGCAAUGGAAUAUCAGAUGAAUGGCAGUGAACAGGAAAGUGAUACUACUACUAGUUUGAGGCCUUUGCAGAAACGUUUUGAAAGUGGACCCAAUCUACCCCCAUCUGAAUUUAUCUACUUUUCUGCCAUUCCCGCUGCCAAUGUUGAUUCUAUGGGGGGCAUGCAUGUGGAUGGAAGCUCCAUGCUUCUACGUGUCUUAAAAAAUUCAGAGUCGCAUCAUGGUGCUGCUUAUGAUAUCUAUAAUCCAACGGUUGACUAUGGGCCUGCGCAUGAUGCACAGCAGUCUCAAAUGACAUUGGAUGUAACUCAUAUCAGACCACAGGAUGAUGGAGGCAAUGUACCAGCACUACAUACGGAUGGUGAUGAGAUCAUCAGAGGAGAUUUUCAUAGACCUUUUGGGUCUCCACCUCCGCUACAUAGCUUGUCAUCAGAAUAUGGACCCCUCCCCAGUCCAUAUCAUUUUGAAAUUGAAGAAUUCUUACUUGAUGA
rnacentral:misc_RNA from 1 species